rnacentral:lncRNA from 11 species
CAGUCUUCAGUGUUGUUCUAUUGUCCCAUUGAUCAUUCAGAAGGUCCAGCUGCUGCUCAUUGAUCAUGCUGCUGCUGCAGUUCAAAACCCAUGAAGCACACAGCAGUAAGGAAGGAAAGAAGGGAGGCAGGAGGAUUUAAAUAUCCUCUGGCUUCACUUCCCUCCAUUGGCACCCAGCUGCAAUUGUGUCUCACAAAUUUACACUUGGACUCCUCUUCGCAUUUGAAGGUCAGCAAGAGCAACUCCACCCCUCACAGAAAUGGAGCUGUAAAAUUCAAAGUUAUAUCCCUCAUUAUGUUACAAUCACAAGAUAUUUCUAUAAAGAUGUUAAAAUGACUAAGAAAUAUAUUGCAAAAGAAGGUUAUGACAAGACAAACUAUGGAAACAGAAGAGAAUGGAAUAUCCCUGGAGAAAAAGAAAGAAAGCAGAUAAUAUAAUAAAUGUUUAAUGGCAACUGACUCC